rnacentral:tRNA from 1 species
AGCAGUGUGUCUUAGUAGAAAGAGCAUGUGCUUGGGAGUCAGAGGUCAUGGGUUCAAAUCCUAGCUCUGCCA